CACUUCAGCAUCCUCUAUGCACGGUGAUUACAGAGAAAACAAACCACCGCAAAUUCGGUGGGCGAGCACAAGCCGAGCUGAGGAAGGAGCCCGGGCUGCCCUCCGGGUCACCCUUUCCGCGGAGCCUUCGCUUACAGUGGUUCUCAACCUUCUGGCCCUUUAAAUACAGUUCCUCAUGUUGUGACCCAACCAUGAAAUUAUUUCCGUUGCUACUU